rnacentral:rRNA from 1 species
UACGGAGGGUGCAAGCGUUAUCCGGAUUCACUGGGUUUAAAGGGUGCGUAGGAGGGCAGGUAAGUCAGUGGUGAAAUCUCCGAGCUUAACUUGGAACUGCCGUUGAUACUAUCUGCCUUGAAUAUUGUGGAGGUGAGCGGAAUAUGUCAUGUAGCGGUGAAAUGCUUAGAUAUGACAUAGAACACCAAUUGCGAAGGCAGCUCGCUACACAUAUAUUGACUCUGAGGCACGAAAAGCGUGGGGGAUCAAACAGG